UACGUAGGGUGCGAGCGUUAAUCGGAAUUAUUGGGCGUAAAGAGCUCGUAGGCGGUCUGUCGCGUCUGCUGUGAAAACUCGGGGCUUAACCCCGGGCCUGCAGUGGGUACGGGCAGACUAGAGUGCGGUAGGGGAGACUGGAAUUCCUGGUGUAGCGGUGAAAUGCGCAGAUAUCAGGAGGAACACCGGUGGCGAAGGCGGGUCUCUGGGCCGUAACUGACGCUGAGGAGCGAAAGCAUGGGGAGCGAACAGG
rnacentral:rRNA from 1 species